rnacentral:rRNA from 1 species
UACGUAGGGUGCGAGCGUUGUCCGGAAUUAUUGGGCGUAAAGAGCUCGUAGGCGGUCUGUUGCGUCCGCUGUGAAAACUCGGGGCUUAACCCCGAGCCUGCAGUGGAUACGGGCAGACUAGAGGUAGGUAGGGGAGAAUGGAAUUCCCGGUGUAGCGGUGAAAUGCGCAGAUAUCGGGAGGAACACCGGUGGCGAAGGCGGUUCUCUGGGCCUUACCUGACGCUGAGGCGCGAAAGCUAGGGGAGCAAACAGG